GGCUCUUUGUAAGGUGAUUUAUUUUGCAGCUGGAAGUCCACUCUCUGGAUGCUUCUUCCUUGCCUAAGAACAAUGAGGAUGUGGAGGAAGAACACUGGAACAGUGUCCAAACAUAACAGACACUGACUCUAUCUGCCCAAACUCCACUACAGUCCUUCCUAGGACACAUCUGACAAUCCAUACACUGUCGCACCUGCCUUCAAUAGGCAAGGAGCCUAAUCUUGCUGACGUACAGGCGCAGACAUCCUCGACUGACAAUUUUCUCUCCUAGGGAUGAGGUCUUCCUAGUGGCCUGGAAGCCAAUCUUCUAGAAGCUUUAAGAUGUAGAACUCUCAGCUCUGUCUGUACCAUGCCUGCCUGGACACAGCCAUGAUCCUGCCUUGCUGGCAGGGGUGUGAAGAACAAACUGAAUUCAAUGGUGAUGUGGAGAGGGGAAUGGCAAGCACGACCUUCUUUAAUACCGCAGAGAAGCAGCAAUGAGCACCUGUGAGCACCUGUGCACUCUGGCAUCUGGCAGACAGCUUGAGGUGGACGGCACAUUUACAUGAUUCAAAAAUAAGAUGCUAAGACAUGACUCCUGCAUCUGUGUCCAUUGUAGCCUCCCCCAGCCUGAAGCAGGCUGGUACAAACCUUGUGGCCACUGAGGUGGGGCCACCUGUGGUGCAGCUUUUUCGGACUUGGCUGGCUCCUCUUUGAAGUGACAACUGCCCUGCUCUUCUGCUACCUGGAGAGGCUGAACCUGUCUUCCUGAGAGAUUCCCGAAUAAGCAACCAGCCUGGAGACCAACAAAGUGCUGACAGAAUGGCUCCAGGCACCAAGAGUGGACUGGGGGACAGGGGACAGGGGACGGGGGGGUCGCCUUCCCCCUUAUAAGCACAAACUCUCAGGCCUUGAACAGAAACAUGUCUUGGUCUCCAUUAUCUUCUCUCGCAGUCUAAGUCUCUUUCAGCCCCAGCCUGCCUCCCAGGGGUACCCGGUUCAGGUAGGCCACUUGGUGAUUGCUGAGGCCUCAAACGACUUCACGUAGCAGCUGACCAAAGCCAUGUAUGUAUCACUGAGACAUGUAGAUGUGCAGUAUCUGAUGCUAAUACUGUGUACAACCCACUACUUUCCCAGUGUUGCUUCUUGAAGAUACAUUCAAAUUUCUGAAUCUGAAAGCUAUGACUGUGCCUUGAAGUGGGUUCUGCCUUUAUGUGGAAAGUGACAUCACAAAAGUAGAGAAACUUCUUUUUCUGCCAGCUACCACUAUGUGCAAAAAUGUGAGAAAUUAA
rnacentral:lncRNA from 1 species